rnacentral:rRNA from 1 species
AAAAUAGCUCAUCACAACAAAGCUAUUCGCCAGAGUACUACUAGCAACAGCCUAAAACUCAAAGGACUUGGCGGUGCUUUAUAUCCCUCUAGAGGAGCCUGUUCCAUAAUCGAUAAACCCCGAUAAACCCCACCAUCCCUUGCUAAUUCAGCCUAUAUACCGCCAUCUUCAGCAAACCCUAAACAAGGUACCGAAGUAAGCACAAACAUCCAACAUAAAAACGUUAGGUCAAGGUGUAGCCCAUGGGAUGGAGAGAAAUGGGCUACAUUUUCUACUCUAAGAACAAGAAUUUAACCCAGACGGAAGUCUCCAUGAAAUUGGAGACCGAAGGAGGAUUUAGCAGUAAAUUAAGAAUAGAGAGCUUAAUUGAAUCAGGCCAUGAAGC